rnacentral:rRNA from 1 species
AGAGUUUGAUCCUGGCUCAGGAUGAACGCUAGCUACAGGCUUAACACAUGCAAGUCGAGGGGCAUCGGGAAGGAAGCUUGCUUCCUUUGCCGGCGACCGGCGCACGGGUGAGUAACACGUAUCCAACCUGCCGAUAACUCCGGGAUAGCCUUUCGAAAGAAAGAUUAAUACCGGAUGGCAUAGUUUUCCCGCAUGAGAGAACUAUUAAAGAACUUCGGUUAUCGAUGGGGAUGCGUUCCAUUAGGCAGUUGGCUGGGUAACGGCCCACCAAACCGACGAUGGAUAGGGGUUCUGAGAGGAAGGUCCCCCACAUUGGAACUGAGACACGGUCCAAACUCCUACGGGAGGCAGCAGUGAGGAAUAUUGGUCAAUGGACGGGAGUCUGAACCAGCCAAGUAGCGUGAAGGAUGACUGCCCUAUGGGUUGUAAACUUCUUUUAUACGGGAAUAAAGUUAGCCACGUGUGGUUAUUUGUAUGUACCGUAUGAAUAAGGAUCGGCUAACUCCGUGCCAGCAGCCGCGGU